UGUGGUCCCCUUGGCGCCUGUGGCCCCUGUGGUCCCUGUGGUCCCCGUGGUCCCUGAGGCCCCUGUGGUCCCUGUGGCCCCUGUGGUCCCUGUGGUCCCUGUCUCUUGGUAGUGAGUCCAGAUGUUUACAGUGAGGCUCUCCAGCAUGUUCAAACUGUGAGUAGAUUCUAAAGCACAAACUUCUCUAGACUAGGAUGGUAGAUUCUGGACACCUGUCCACCCUGACACCUGUCCACCUGUCCACCCUGACACCUGUCCACACUGACACCUGUCCACCUGGACACUGUCCACCUGUCCACCUGUCCACCGGUCCACCGGUCCACCUGUCCAUCAUUGUGUCUGUUUGGAUUGUUCUGAUUUUUGUUCUUAUGUUUUUAUUUAGACACAUUUCAGGGACAAACUUUAAAACCGUCUUGAAACCAGGACCGGUCCUGGACUGUUCGGGCUCUGAGGGAAGAGUCCAGGUGGUCCCCAGGUGCAGGUUUCUAAAGCUCACUACCAGUUUACAGACAUUCACAUCCCAGACUGAAUCCUUUUGUCUUUGAGGAGAAACCAGGCUGUCCAGUUCAGACCUGCUGACAUCAUGAGGAACACCUGUUCAUUAACCUGCAGCUGUGGACUGAAGCAGUUCUAGGAGGUCUAGGGGUGGUCCUCUGGAACGUUUAGUAGAAUAUUUACUCAGAACUCUGCUUUUUCUGCCCUUAAAACACUAAAGACUUCUCUGGAUUAAGAAACCAAGAUGAAGGACCGGUCCUGAUCAAAGCUCCUCCUGGUGUUCUGGGUCCUGGUUCUGUUGGACCCAGGACCUGGGACUGGCACCAGUCUGACUGUGGAUGUUGAUGGAUGAUGGACCUGGUCUGAGCAGAACCAGACCACCUGAUCUUUAUUCCUUUAUUUGUUUCGUUGGUCAGUCUUCUGUAAAAUCUGAUGCUUUUAUUCUGACAGUCCCUCAGGAAGUGAACUUUUCAUGUUUCUGUUGUUGUCAUGGUUUAUUGUUUUAUAGUGUUUCACUUUGGGUUGUUGGAAACCUGUCCAACUGUUGGACAGGUGUUGGACAGUUGUUGGACAGGUGUUGGACAUCUGUUGGACAGCUGUUGGACAUCUGUUGGACAGGUGUUGGACAUCUGUUGGACAUCUGUCAGACAGGUGUUGGACAUCUGUUGGACAUCUGUUGGAUAGGUGUUGGACAGGUGUUAGACAUCUGUUGGACAGGUGUUGGACAUUUGUUGGACACCUGUUGGACACCUGUUGGACAUCUGUUGGAUAGGUGUCAGACAGCUGUUGGACAUCUGUUGGACAGGUGUUGGACAUUUGUUGGACAGGUGUUGGACAUCUGUUGGACAUCUGUCAGACAGGUGUUGGACAUUUGUUGGACAUCUAUCAGACAGGUGUUGGACAUCUGUCAGACAGGUGUUGGACAUCUGUUGGACAGGUGUUGGAUAGGUGUUGGACAUUUGUUGGACAUCUGUCAGACAGGUGUUGGACAUCGGUCAGACAGGCGUUGGACAUCUGUUAGACAUUUGUUGGACAUCUGUCAGACAGGUGUUGGAUAUCUGUCAGACAGGUGUUGGACAUCUGUUGGACAUUUGUUGGACAGGUGUUGGACAGGUGUUGGACAGGUGUUGGACGUUUGUUGGACAGGUGUUUGACAUUUGUUGGACAGGUGUUGGACAUCUGUCAGACAGGUGUUGGACAGCUGUUGGACAGGUGUUGGACAUUUGUUGGACAGGUGUUGGACAUCUGUCAGACAGGUGUUGGACAGCUGUUGGACAGGUGUUGGACAUUUGUUGGACAUUUGUUGGACAGGUGUUGGACAGGUGUUGGACAUUUGUUGGAAAUUUGUUGGACAGCUGUCAGAAAGGUUUCAGACAGGAGUUGGACAGGUGUCAGACAGGAGUUGGACAGGUAUCUGACGGGUGUUGGACAGGUGUCUGACAGGUGUUGGACAGGUGUCUGACAGGUGUUGGAUGUUUGUUGGACAGCUGUUGGACAGGUGUUGGACAUCUGUUGGACAUUUGUUGGAAAUUUGUUGGACAGCUGUCAGAAAGGUGUCAGACAGGUGUCAGACAGGUGUUGAACAUCUGUUGGACAGGUGUCAGACAGGUGUUGGACAGGUGUUGAACAUCUGUUGGACAGGUGUCAGACAGGUGUUAGACAGGAGUUGGACAGGUGUUGGACAGGUGUCAGACAAGUGUUGGACAGGUGUUGAACAUCUGUUGGACAGGUGUCAGACAGGUGUUGGACAGGUGUUGAACAUCUGUUGGACAGGUGUCUGACAGGUGUUGGACAGGUGUUGAACAUCUGUUGGACAGGUGUCUGACAGGUGUUGGACAGGUGUUGAACAUCUGUUGGACAGGUGUCUGACAGGUGUUGGACAGGUGUUGAACAUCUGUUGGACAGGUUUUGGACAGGUGUUGAACAUCUGUUGGACAGGUGUCAGACAGGUGUCAGACAGGUGUCAGACAGGUGUUGGACUGGUGUCAGACAGGUGUUGGACAGGUGUUGAACAUCGGUUGGACAGGUGUCUGACAGGUGUUUAACAUCUGUUGGACAGGUGUCAGACAGGUGUCUGACAGGUGUUGGACAGGUGUUUAACAUCUGUUGGACAGGUGUCAGACAGGUGUCUGACAGGUGUUGGACAGGUGUCAGACAGGUGUUGGACAGGUGUUGGACUGUUGUCAGACAGGUGUUGGACUGGUGUCAGACAGGUGUUGGACAGGUGUCAGGUCACAUGACUGUGUUAAGAUGUUAAACACUGACUUGUGAUAAUAAAACAUUUCUCAGUAA